AGUAGCAUUUACUGAUAGUAUUUUCACACCUACAGUCUGAUUGUAUUUUCUGCUGUGUUGUACUUAUUUUCUGAUAAGAGCUUAUUCAGUGCCUCUUGCAAGACAGCCUAUUAAUUUUGACAGUUGAUGCAACAGGAGACAAGAAAAAUUAUUUUGACCUCUGAACAAUCUAUCACAUAAUAUCCAUAAACACAUCUGUGGCAAAUUCUAACAAAAAGAAGCAUUAUUUUGAAGGGUUUAUUAUUUCCUUUAAUACUGUGAUGUUUUGUUUGUUGUUUCAUGUUACUUGGACUGAAUCACUAAUGGGACAAUUCCUAAGAGGGUAAGUGACAAAAAAAAUAUUGGCAUUUGCCACUGUUAAAUGCCAGCUUGAUUUAAAGACUGUAUGAUAAAUGGCUAUAUUUACAAUGGAAGGUUAAUAUUUUGUUUUUUAAAUUCCACAGGCAUUAUAAACUGCAAAACCACAGAUAGAUUUUAAUGCUAUUACUAACUAACUCUCAACUACCACACAAUCCCCAGAGCUUUGCUAUGGGCCACUAGGAGCUAAACUGAAAUAAUCAAACUCAUUGCAGAUAUGGUAUUUUGUACUUAUGUUUUACAGCUAUUUAAGAAAAUAAUUUUGGUGGAACUGGCUCAUGAACCUUGUGACGGUAAGAGACAAAAAUUAGUCACUAAUACAUUUGCUCUGGUUCUCACCCAUUUGUAAUAUGCUUGAUAUUUCAUCUUAUGAUUUUCUAAAAAUAUCUAUUGCUUCUCAGGUCUUGAAAUAAAGAGGGGAUAAUUACUGUAUCUCCCAAAGAAAGUGGGGAUAGGCAGAUGAGAAGUGCUUCCUUUUAAGAAUUUAUCUGGAAAUUUACUAGCUGCUUAUUUUCACCUCCCUGCAAUUGAGUUCUUUCAAAAGGCCAAUGAGGAGAGUCAAUAUUUCUUCCACUUAGGUGAUACGAUAUGUGUUUUAACAGAAAUGGAGCAUCUUGGAAACAUUAAGAGUGUAAAAAUUAGCAACAGAACACUGCAUUCCACAAACGACGUUACCAAAAAGUAUCUGUGUGAGAAGCCAACUAAGAUAAUUUCAUACAAUAGUCACAAUUUUACUUUCUUGAAUAUCUCAUUUUUGUGAGGGCCUCAGAUCUGAGAAAAGAUAGAGAGUCCCCAGUUGACAUAUUUCAUAACAGUUCAAUUGGGAGAAAAAUAUAGAUAGUGAGCUCAUUUUUAAAUCCUUGUUACUAGAAAUAUUUUUUCAGUCAUCUUCAACUGAUUUCUACAAAAAAUAUUCUAUUCUUCCUACUUCUCCAAAAGCUUUAUUAUAUUUUACACCAGAGAACCACUUACAUCCAAAAGGACUUGCUGAUUAUUAUAAUCAUUGUGCAUUAUCAUUAUUCUACUCGUUGUUUGUUGGGCAUCUGAUAGAAAUAAAAUUAUAGUGAUUGUUGAUUGAUAUACUUUACUUUAAGAGAGCAGAACACUUUACCACGCACCAUAUUAUUUUAUAUCCUCUUCAACUUUGUGGUUACUAUGUGCUAUGCUAGUCAGAAUUUGCAUCAAUUUCAACUUUGCUUCUUGCUGUAAAACUACAUAAAGUAGAAGUCAGCGCAAGUUCUAAAAUUCAGACUCAGUCUCCUGUGGUACUUGGAUAUCUGGUUGAACAUCUACCUUAAUAGCUGCCAAUACUUCUGAGACUUUUCUUUUUUUAUUAUUUUUUUGGAGGCGGAUUCUGACUUUGGACUUGAUCCUGAGAGAUGCUGAGGAUCUGAAAGUCCCUUUGACUUCCAUAGAAAUUACAGGUACUCCAGAUCUCUUACCAGCAGGCUUUUUGUUUGUUUUUGGCAGGUUGAAUUUGGUGGGCUGAUGACUGAGAUGGAUCAUGUGCAUCUCCUACACAGUUCUCCUUACUGAAAGAAAACAACUGUAGAGAGGGAAGGGACCAGCAGCAGGUCAGAGGCCAUCCAAGACACUGUGCCUGAUGUUUUGCAGAAAGCCAACACAACAUUCGGAGUGCUAUAGAAAGAUCUUGCCUGCUCCAUACACAGAGAAAAGUUCCUGUGCCCUCUUAGCAUUUGCACUCCAGCAAAGUAGAAGGCAUGAUUUAGCUUCCACAUAACUAUUUGUUAUUAAAUUAUUUGUUAUUAAA